rnacentral:tRNA from 1 species
GGGUCGGUACCAAAGUGGUCAACUGGGGCAGACUGUAAAUCUGCUGGCCCCGUGCCUUCGUAGGUUCGAAUCCUACCCGGCCCACCA